rnacentral:rRNA from 1 species
GACGAACGCUGGCGGCGUGCUUAACACAUGCAAGUCGAACGGUGAAGGGACUGGUUUUGCUGGUCCUGGAUGAGUGGCGAACGGGUGAGUAACACGUGAGUAACCUGCCCCCUUCUUCUGGAUAACCGCAUGAAAGUGUGGCUAAUACGGGAUAUUCUGGGUCUGUCGCAUGGUGGGCCUGGGAAAGAUUGCGCCUUUUUUGGUGUUUUUGGUGGGGGAUGGGCUCGCGGCCUAUCAGCUUGUUGGUGGGGUGAUGGCCUACCAAGGCGGUGACGGGUAGCCGGCCUGAGAGGGUGGACGGUCACACUGGGACGGAGACACGGCCCAGACUCCUACGGGAGGCAGCAGUGGGGAAUAUUGCACAAUGGGCGAAAGCCUGAUGCAGCGACGCCGCGUGAGGGAUGGAGGCCUUCGGGUUGUGAACCUCUUUCGCCAGUGAAGCAGGCCUGCCUCUUUUUGUGGGUGGGUUGACGGUAGCUGGAUAAGAAGCGCCGGCUAACUACGUG